rnacentral:rRNA from 1 species
AGUGGCGGACGGGCGAGGAAUACGUAGGGAUCUGCCCUUAAGUGGGGGAUAACCCGGGGAAACCCGGAUUAAUACCGCAUGAUCUCGCAAGAGCAAAGAGGGGGACCGCAAGGCCUCUCGCUUUUGGAGGAACCUACGUCGGAUUAGCUAGUUGGUGAGGUAACGGCUCACCAAGGCGACGAUCCGUAACUGGUCUGAGAGGAUGAUCAGUCACACCGGAACUGAGACACGGUCCGGACUCCUACGGGAGGCAGCAGUGGGGAAUAUUGGACAAUGGGCGAAAGCCUGAUCCAGCAAUACCGCGUGUGUGAAGAAGGCCUUCGGGUUGUAAAGCACUUUAAGUUGGGAAGAAAAAGCUUCACCUAAUACGUGGAGCCUUGACGGUACCGACAGAAUAAGCACCGGCUAACUCUGUGCCAGCAGCCGCGGUAAUACAGAGGGUGCUAGCGUUAAUCGGAUUUACUGGGCGUAAAGCGUGCGUAGGCGGUUUGAUAAGUCGAUUGUGAAAGCCCCGGGCUCAACCUGGGAAUUGCGGUCGAUACUGUCAGACUCGAAAACGGUAGAGGGAGGCGGAACUCCAGGUGUAGCGGUGAAAUGCGUAGAUAUCUGGAAGAACACCGAUGGCGAAGGCAACCUCCUGGGCCUGUUUUGACGCUGAGGCACGAAAGCGUGGGUAGCAAACAGGAUUAGAUACCCUGGU